GGAAUAUUGGUCAAUGGGCGCGAGCCUGAACCAGCCAAGUCGCGUGAGGGAUGACGGCCCUACGGGUCGUAAACCUCUUUUGUCAGGGAGCAAGGCCGCCCACGUGUGGACGGAAGGAGAGUACCUGGAGAAAAAGCAGCGGCUAACUCCGUGCAAGCAGCCGCGGUAAUACGGAGGAUGCGAGCGUUAUCCGGAUUUAUUUGGUUUAAAGGGUGCGUAGGCGGCCUGCAAAGUCAGCGGUAAAAUUGCGGGGCUCAACCCCGUACAGCCGUUGAAACUGCCGGGCUCGAGUGGGCGAGAAGUAUGCGGAGUGCGUGGUGUAGCGGUGAAAUGCAUAGAUAUCACGCAGAACCCCGAUUGCGAAGGCAGCAUACCGGCGCCCUACUGACGCUGAGGCACGAAAGUGCGGGGAUCAAA
rnacentral:rRNA from 1 species